CAGCAGCCGCGGGAAUACGUAGGGUGCGAGCGUUAAUCGGAAUUACUGGGCGUAAAGCGUGCGCAGGCGGUUAUAUAAGACAGAUGUGAAAUCCCCGGGCUCAACCUGGGACCUGCAUUUGUGACUGUAUAGCUAGAGUACGGUAAAGGGGGAUGGAAUUCCGCGUGUAGCAGUGAAAUGCGUAGAUAUGCGGAGGAACACCGAUGGCGAAGGCAAUCCCCUGGACCUGUACUGACGCUCAUGCACGAAAGCGUGGGGAGCAAACAGGAUUAGAGACCCGAGUAGUCCCUGUCUCUUAUAC
rnacentral:rRNA from 1 species